rnacentral:rRNA from 1 species
AGUCGACGGUACAGGUCUUCGGAUGCUGACGAGUGGCGAACGGGUGAGUAUACAUCGGAACGUGCCCGAUCGUGGGGGAUAACGAAGCGAAAGCUUUGCUAAUACCGCAUACGAUCUACGGAUGAAAGCAGGGGACCGCAAGGCCUUGCGCGAACGGAGCGGCCGAUGGCAGAUUAGGUAGUUGGUGGGAUAAAAGCUUACCAAGCCGACGAUCUGUAGCUGGUCUGAGAGGACGACCAGCCACACUGGGACUGAGACACGGCCCAGACUCCUACGGGAGGCAGCGGUGGGGAAUUUUGGANCAUGGGCGAAAGCCUGAUCCAGCCAUGCCGCGUGCAGGAUGAAGGCCUUCGGGUUGUAAACUGCUUUUGUACGGAACGAAAAGACUCUGGUUAAUACCUGGGGUCCAUGACGGUACCGUAAGAAUAAGCACCGGCUAACUACGUGCCAGCAGCCGCGGUAAUACGUAGGGUGCAAGCGUUAAUCGGAAUUACUGGGCGUAAAGCGUGCGCAGGCGGUUAUAUAAGACAGAUGUGAAAUCCCCGGGCUCAACCUGGGAACUGCAUUUGUGACUGUAUAGCUAGAGUACGGCAGAGGGGGAUGGAAUUCCGCGUGUAGCAGUGAAAUGCGUAGAUAUGCGGAGGAACACCGAUGGCGAAGGCAAUCCCCUGGGCCUGUACUGACGCUCAUGCA